UACGAGGGGGGCAAAUGUUGUUCGGAAUCACUGGGCGUAAAGGGAGCGUAGGCGGGUUUUUAAGUCAGGUGUUUAAUCCCGGGGCCCAACCCCGGACAGGCACUUGAAACUGGGAAUCUUGAGUAGUGGAGAGGUCAGUGGAAUUGGGGGUGUAGCGGUGGAAUGCGUAGAGAUCCCCAAGAACACCCGUUGCGAAGGCGGCUGACUGGACACAUAUUGACGCUGAGGCUCGAAAGCAUGGGGAGCAAACAGG
rnacentral:rRNA from 1 species